rnacentral:rRNA from 1 species
UACAGAGGGUGCAAGCGUUAAUCGGAAUUACUGGGCGUAAAGCGUGCGUAGACGGUCAUGUAAGUCGGGUGUGAAAGCCCCGGGCUCAACCUGGGAAUUGCAUCCGAUACUGAGUAACUAGAGUAUGAGAGAGGGAGGUAGAAUUCCACGUGUAGCGGUGAAAUGCGCAGAUAUCAGGAGGAACACCGGUGGCGAAGGCGGAUCUCUGGGCCUUACCUGACGCUGAGGCGCGAAAGCUAGGGGAGCGAACAGG